GCUAAGCCAUGCGAGUCGAGAGGUGCAAGACCUCGGCAUACUGCUCAGUAACACGUGGACAACCUACCCUAUGGAGGGGGAUAACCCCGGGAAACUGGGGAUAAUACCCCAUAGACUAUAGAUGCUGGAAUGCUUUGUAGUUGAAAGGUCCGCCGCCAUAGGAUGGGUCUGCGGCCGAUUAGGUUGUUGUUGGGGUAACGGCCCAACAAGCCUGUAAUCGGUACGGGUUGUGGGAGCAAGAGCCCGGAGAUGGAUUCUGAGACACGAAUCCAGGCCCUACGGGGCGCAGCAGGCGCGAAAAACUUUACAAUGCGGGGAAACCGUGAUAAGGGAACUCCGAGUGCCCGUAAAAUCGGGCUGUCCAUCUGUUUAAAUAACAGGGUGAAGAAAGGGCCGGGCAAGACCGGUGCCAGCCGCCGCGGUAAUACCGGCGGCUCGAGUGGUGGCCACUAUUACUGGGCUUAAAGCGUUUCGUAGCUGGUCUGUUAAGUCUCUGGGGAAAUCUACUGGCUUAACCAAUAGGCGUCUCAGGGAUACUGGCAGACUAGGGACCGGGGAGAGGUGAGAGGUACUCCAGGGGUAGGAGUGAAAUCCUGUAAUCCUUGGGGGGACCACCUGUGGCGAAAGGCGCCUCACCAGAACGGGCUCCGACAGUGAGGGACGAAAGCUGGGGGAGCAAACCGGAUUAGAUACCCGGGUAGUCCCAGCCGUAAACGAUGCGCGUUUAGGUGUAUCGGUGACCACGAGUCACCGAGGUGCCGAAGAGAAAUCGUGAAACGUGCCGCCUGGGAAGUACGGUCGCAAGGCUGAAACUUAAAGGAAUUGGCGGGGGAGCACCACAACAGGUGGAGCCUGCGGUUUAAUCGGACUCAACGCCGGAAAUCUCACCGGAUAAGACAGCUGGAUGAUAGUCGGGCUGAAGACUCUACUUGACUAGCUGAGAGGUGGUGCAUGGCCAC
rnacentral:rRNA from 1 species